rnacentral:rRNA from 1 species
UACAGAGGUCCCAAGCGUUGUUCGGAUUCACUGGGCGUGAAGGGUGCGUAGGCGGUCGGGUAAGUCUGAUGUGAAAUCUCACAGCUUAACUGUGAAACUGCAUUGGAUACUAUCCGGCUCGAGGAAUGGAGGGGAGACUGGAAUUCCUGGUGUAGCGGUGAAAUGCGCAGAUAUCAGGAGGAACACCGGUGGCGAAGGCGGGUCUCUGGGCAGUAACUGACGCUGAGGAGCGAAAGCGUGGGGAGCAAACAGG